UGGGGAAUAUUGGACAAUGGGCGAAAGCCUGAUCCAGCAAUGCCGCGUGAGUGAUGAAGGCCUUAGGGUUGUAAAGCUCUUUUACCAGGGAUGAUAAUGAUAGUACCUGGAGAAUAAGCUCCGGCUAACUCCGUGCCAGCAGCCGCGGUAAUACGGAGGGAGCUAGCGUUGUUCGGAAUUACUGGGCGUAAAGCGUACGUAGGCGGUUAUUCAAGUCAGAGGUGAAAGCCCGGGGCUCAACCCCGGAACGGCCUUUGAAACUAGAUAGCUAGAAUCUUGGAGAGGUCAGUGGAAUUCCGAGUGUAGAGGUGAAAUUCGUAGAUAUUCGGAAGAACACCAGUGGCGAAGGCGACUGACUGGACAAGUAUUGACGCUGAGGUACGAAAGCGUGGGGAGCAAACAGGAUUAGAUACCCCGGUAGUCCCUGAGCGGGCUGGCAAGGCGCAU
rnacentral:rRNA from 1 species